AUUUGCCAUUUUUCCUUCUUCAGUCCAUUCAUUCCUUUUCUCUUCCUAUGCAUGUUACUUUUCUUUCUCUUUUUCCUUAUCUUUGACAUGAUAUUUGCUUUAUGUUCUCCCUUCUUCAUUUGCGAUUACAGGUUUGGAGUUUCAAUUUCUGCUAAUUCUUGUUCUCUGCGUGGAGAUUAUACUUUUGAGGAUGAGUUGGUUUAGUUGUAUUGGCAAGUUCCGGUCACGACAACACAUGGCUCAUCCGGAUAACUAACACGUUGCAAGAAUGGUUCACCCGGAUAAGUAAUAAUGGUUCGAGAACUGGAAGUAUGAAAGCUAAAGCCGAUAGAGAAUUGGUGAACAGACAGGAUCAUUUAUUUGGCUCCGAAGAAAGAAGUGACCGGAUGGGAGUUUUCCAAGCACGUAGUCGGAACAGACUUGUCGCCUUUGGUGCCGAUCUUCAAGAUACCCAAAAUCUUCCCAAGAUCACAGUCUGUGCACGGUUAUGGCUAGCGAGGGUCUCGCCACUAGUGGCUAACGUAUGCAACGUGUAGGCGUGAAACUCGAAAAGGAUAACCCUUGAAGAUAUGCACAUGUUCAGUAUUUUGAAUCGAGAAAUCAGAAGGGCGUCGAUGCAGGUACCUUCAGUUUUUAUUGUUGUAGGAAACUACAUUGCAUUUGGUUUAGUUAUGUAAAAAUUAAAUCAGAACCGUUAAAGACGAAACAACUCAAGUGUUGUUUUGAGGUAAUAACUACAAUAUCGCUCUAAAAAACUAUCAAAGACGAUUGUUUCUUAGAAUAUUUCUCAACAAGCACGUCUGAAAAUUUUCUUCAGAAAAGUUUCCAAAAAACUAUUCAAAUACUUGAAAAUGAAAGAGAUGAGAAAGUAAUAGUUUCAGGUUCCAUUCAGUUCCUUCGCCACAGAACAAGCUUGAUGUCUCAACCUGCAUGAGCAUUAUUGCAAACUUUGUCGCCUAUACUUUUUCAAUAGUCCAUUUGGAUGGCAAGGGAUUAAUUAAAGUCAAAAGUGUAUUUCAUUAUUAACCAUGGAUAUCAAAUUAAUACAUGCACAUCUGCAGUUGAUGUUCCAGAUCAACAAAACAUGAAGAGUCUGACUUCUUGAUAUUUUCUGUACAUGAGCAAAAUAGAUAAAAAUUACAAAGGGACUUUUAUAUACAAAUUGUGCAUGUUAUAAUAAGAUAAUUUUAUGUACAAUAUGUGCAAAAGAAAUAAGUAUAACAAGGAAAAACUGGAAGUUGGAUUCUACUCUACUCAAAUGGAUUUAAAUGGUCAGCCGAAAUCUGCUUUCUCUUUAACACGUACAGUAAUUGCUCUCUUCGCUUGGCAUAUACUGUUGAAGGGAAAAAGCUAUGAAAAAUAUUUGAAGGUUUAUUAAAUCAAGGUAAUUUUGAUCACAUUAUCAUCUUUUUUCAUCUUCAAUUCUGACGUCAAUUGAUUUUUAGCUGAGCAAGCAAAGAAUGAACCACACAGAUAAUCGUUCUAGAAGCCAUUCAUCAGAUUGCUCCUUGUGAUAUAGAAAACCACGGAAGCUAGGAUUGCAUGAUGCAACAACACCGAUAGUGCUCAAGAGUCCUUCAAUAAAUGUGUUCUCUUGCAAUUAGCGGUGGGCAUUCAGUAGACUCACGAGUACAAAGUGCAGAAAAAGGAAGGUCUACUCCACUAUGGAGCUUAAUUAGUUUGCCUUAAAGUGCAGAAAAAGGAAGGUCUACUCCACUAUGGAGCUUAAUUAGUUUGCCUUCUGAUGCUGUGUAAUUUUUAUUCUGCAUAUAUAAAUUCCACAAGCAAGGAGGAUGCACAAAAAAAUAAGAGGAAGUUAAAUGAGCCAAAAAACUUCCUAAGGAAUUGGGAGAAUCUUUAUAAAAAUCUGCAGGAAAGCAGAAGUUGAGAGAAACAGAAUACUUUGGUCUGUACAUUUCAAUCUGUACAACAUGCAUAUUUAGUAACAUCUCCUUUUGUAAGACUCAUAUUUGUACAACGAUUAAUUCUAGAAUGAUUAUGCGUACAAAGUAUGUAUGUUACUUUAA